GCCUAUACAUGCAAGUCGAGCGAAUGGAUUAAGAGCUUGCUCUUAUGAAGUUAGCGGCGGACGGGUGAGUAACACGUGGGUAACCUGCCCAUAAGACUGGGAUAACUCCGGGAAACCGGGGCUAAUACCGGAUAACAUUUUGAACCGCAUGGUUCGAAAUUGAAAGGCGGCUUCGGCUGUCACUUAUGGAUGGACCCGCGUCGCAUUAGCUAGUUGGUGAGGUAACGGCUCACCAAGGCAACGAUGCGUAGCCGACCUGAGAGGGUGAUCGGCCACACUGGGACUGAGACACGGCCCAGACUCCUACGGGAGGCAGCAGUAGGGAAUCUUCCGCAAUGGACGAAAGUCUGACGGAGCAACGCCGCGUGAGUGAUGAAGGCUUUCGGGUCGUAAAACUCUGUUGUUAGGGAAGAACAAGUGCUAGUUGAAUAAGCUGGCACCUUGACGGUACCUAACCAGAAAGCCACGGCUAACUACGUGCCAGCAGCCGCGGUAAUACGUAGGUGGCAAGCGUUAUCCGGAAUUAUUGGGCGUAAAGCGCGCGCAGGUGGUUUCUUAAGUCUGAUGUGAAAGCCCACGGCUCAACCGUGGAGGGUCAUUGGAAACUGGGAGACUUGAGUGCAGAAGAGGAAAGUGGAAUUCCAUGUGUAGCGGUGAAAUGCGUAGAGAUAUGGAGGAACACCAGUGGCGAAGGCGACUUUCUGGUCUGUAACUGACACUGAGGCGCGAAAGCGUGGGGAGCAAACAGGAU
rnacentral:rRNA from 1 species